rnacentral:miRNA from 1 species
AGAGGAACGGACUGCUUAGAUGU